UACGGAGGGUGCGAGCGUUGUCCGGAAUCACUGGGCGUAAAGGGCGCGUAGGUGGCUCACGAAAGCGUGCGGUGAAAGCCCGGGGCUCAACCCCGGGUCGGCCGUGCGGACUGCGGGGCUCGAGCACUGUAGGGGCAGAUGGAAUUCCGGGUGUAGCGGUGGAAUGCGUAGAGAUCCGGAAGAACAACGGUGGCGAAGGCGGUCUGCUGGGCAGUUGCUGACACUGACGCUGAUGCGCGAAAGCCAGGGGAGCAAACGGG
rnacentral:rRNA from 1 species